rnacentral:rRNA from 1 species
GACGAACGCUGGCGGCGUGCUUAACACAUGCAAGUCGAACGGAAAGGCCCUGCUUUCGUGGGGUGCUCGAGUGGCGAACGGGUGAGUAACACGUGAGUAACCUGCCCUUGACUUUGGGAUAACUUCAGGAAACUGGGGCUAAUACCGGAUAGGAGCUCCUGCUGCAUGGUGGGGGUGGGAAAGUUUCGGCGGUUGGGGAUGGACUCGCGGCUUAUCAGCUUGGUGGUGGGGUAGUGGCUUACCAAGGCUUUGACGGGUAGCCGGCCUGAGAGGGUGACCGGCCACAUUGGGACUGAGAUACGGCCCAGACUCCUACGGGAGGCAGCAGUGGGGAAUAUUGCACAAUGGGCGGAAGCCUGAUGCAGCAACGCCGCGUGCGGGAUGACGGCCUUCGGGUUGUAAACCGCUUUCGCCUGUGACGAAGCGUGAGUGACGGUAAUGGGUAAAGAAGCACCGGCUAACUACGUG